AUAAUGGGUCAGCGACUUAUAUUCUGUAGCAAGGUUAACCGAAUAGGGGAGCCGGAGGGAAACCGAGUCUUAAUUGGGCGUUAAGUUGCAGGGUAUAGACCCGAAACCCGGUGAUCUAGCCAUGGGCAGGUUGAAGGUUGGGUAACACUAACUGGAGGACCGAACCGACUAAUGUUGAAAAAUUAGCGGAUGACCUGUGGCUGGGGGUGAAAGGCCAAUCAAACCGGGAGAUAGCUGGUUCUCCCCGAAAGCUAUUUAGGUAGCGCCUCGUGAAUUCAUCUCCGGGGGUAGAGCACUGUUUCGGCUAGGGGGCCAUCCCGGCUUACCAACCCGAUGCAAACUGCGAAUACCGGAGAAUGUUAUCACGGGAGACACACGGCGGGUGCUAACGUCCGUCGUGAAGAGGGAAACAACCCAGACCGCCAGCUAAGGUCCCAAAGUCAUGGUUAAGUGGGAAACGAUGUGGGAAGGCCCAGACAGCCAGGAUGUUGGCUUAGAAGCAGCCAUCAUUUAAAGAAAGCGUAAUAGCUCACUGGUCGAGUCGGCCUGCGCGGAAGAUGUAACGGGGCUAAACCAUG
rnacentral:rRNA from 2 species